rnacentral:snRNA from 1 species
AUUUUAAAAAAUAAAAACAUUAAUUGAAACAAUACAGAGAUCAGCACUGCCCCUGUGCCAGGAUAACACAAAAUUUUGUAAAGUGUUCCAUAUAGGU